GCGACCCCAGGUCAGGCGGGACUACCCGCUGAAUUUAA
rnacentral:rRNA from 126 species